rnacentral:rRNA from 1 species
GACGAACGCUGGCGGCGUGCUUAACACAUGCAAGUCGAACGAUGAAGCCUAGCUUGCUAGGUGGAUUAGUGGCGAACGGGUGAGUAAUACGUGAGUAACCUACCUUUAACUCUGGGAUAAGCCUGGUAAACUGGGUCUAAUACCGGAUACGACCAAUCUCCGCAUGGGGUGUUGGUGGAAAGCGUUAUGUAGUGGUUAUAGAUGGGCUCACGGCCUAUCAGCUUGUUGGUGAGGUAACGGCUCACCAAGGCGACGACGGGUAGCCGGCCUGAGAGGGUGACCGGCCACACUGGGACUGAGACACGGCCCAGACUCCUACGGGAGGCAGCAGUGGGGAAUAUUGCACAAUGGGCGCAAGCCUGAUGCAGCGACGCCGCGUGAGGGAUGACGGCCUUCGGGUUGUAAACCUCUGUUAGCAGGGAAGAAGAGAGAUUGACGGUACCUGCAGAGAAAGCGCCGGCUAACUACGUG